AUACUUACCUGGCACUGGAGGUACCUUGAUCACCUUGGAGGUCCUUUCAGGGCGAGGCCUGUCCAUUGCACUAGGGGCGGGUUGACCCCUGCGAUCACCGCAAAUGUAGGUGACUCGAGUGCGUACUCUAUUCGUAAGGGGGACUACGUUCCCGCUAUACCUGU